rnacentral:lncRNA from 1 species
CUUUUCCUGACAAUCCUCUCCAGGCUGUGGUCAUCCCUGCUGCUUGUGCACCUUUUUCUUCCACACUUUUCCCUUCCACAUAACUUUCUAUUAAUGUGCUUUGAUACAGCACUUUGGGAACAUCCAACUUCCUUCGCAAUUACCUUUUGAGGCUUUCCCUCCUUACGGAGGGUGUCAAUGAUGGUUUUCUGCACAACUGUCAGGUCAGCAGUCUUCCCCAUGAUUGUGAUUCCUACUGAACCAGACUGAGAGAC